GGGUCAGUAGGUUGGUCGUGCCACCGGUACGUACUGGUCUCACUGAUUCCUCCUUCCUGAAGAACCGUAAUGCCAUUAAUUUGGUGUUGCGGGGAAACAGGAUUGUUACUUUGAAAAAAUUAGAGUGUUUAAAGCAAGCUGACGCUUGAAUACAUUAGCAUGGAAUAAUGAAAUAGGACGAUCGAUCCUAUUUUGUUGGUUUCUAGGAUUGACGUA
rnacentral:rRNA from 1 species